rnacentral:rRNA from 1 species
AUUGAACGCUGGCGGAAUGCUUUACACAUGCAAGUCGAACGGCAGCACGGGGCAACCUGGUGGCGAGUGGCGAACGGGUGAGUAAUAUAUCGGAACGUGCCCAAUCGUGGGGGAUAACGUAGCGAAAGUUACGCUAAUACCGCAUACGAUCUACGGAUGAAAGCGGGGGAUCGCAAGACCUCGCGCGAAUGGAGCGGCCGAUAUCAGAUUAGGUAGUUGGUGGGGUAAAGGCUCACCAAGCCAACGAUCUGUAGCUGGUCUGAGAGGACGACCAGCCACACUGGAACUGAGACACGGUCCAGACUCCUACGGGAGGCAGCAGUGGGGAAUUUUGGACAAUGGGCGCAAGCCUGAUCCAGCCAUUCCGCGUGCAGGAUGAAGGCCUCGGUUGGUAACUAGCUUUGUUACAGAACGAAACAAGUACCCUCCUAACUUAACGGGGGGGACCGGAAGUAGACGGUACGU